ensembl:snoRNA
ACAGACUGAAAAUGAGCCCGGCUGUCUCAGUGAGCCGGGAUCAGAUAACUGUGCACACAACAAGCGGUGCGUUAAGCUUAUUUCGUGUGCCUGUCACCGGAAUAAAACCCAUGCACUUACAUUA